AGAAAUUUUGGGUCCACUUGUAAGACAGAAGAUAUACAUUGCUUAACCACUUUUCCUCUGCCAUUUAAAUUUGUCGGAUUAUAUUUUCCAGUAUCAGGAGCAACAUGCUCCAGAUGAGAAGAGUCAUCUUCAAUUGAUAACUGUUCUAAUGACUCAUUCCAAGAGUUCCCUUUAUCCUUAGCUCCUGGUUGUGACUUCUGCUUGUUUU
rnacentral:misc_RNA from 1 species